UACGGAGGGUGCAAACGUUGCUCGGAAUCAUUGGGCGUAAAGCGCACGUAGGUGGUUUGUUAAGUCGGAUGUGAAAGCCCCGGGCUCAACUCGGGAAGUGCAUUCGAAACUGGCAGGCUUGAGUAUGGAAGAGGGUCGCGGAAUUCCCGGUGUAGAGGUGAAAUUCGUAGAUAUCGGGAGGAACACCAGUGGCGAAGGCGGCGACCUGGGCCAAUACUGACACUGAGGUGCGAAAGCGUGGGGAGCAAACAGA
rnacentral:rRNA from 1 species